rnacentral:tRNA from 1 species
UGGGAUAUAGUCUAACGGUAGGACAGCAGACUUUGACUCUGUUAGUGUAAGUUCGAUUCUUGCUAUCCCAGCCA